UGGUACUUUCAAAUGGAUCCACAAACUCUUGUUGCAGUCCUAACUGCAUUUACAGUGUGCUAAUGUCAGAUGCUGCUAACGUUGGAGGCACUCAUGAACGACAAUAAGCGGCUCCUACAUACACCAUACAAUACUAGGCAUAGAAUUGGGCAGCUUGUGUACUUUCGCAUGAUACACGAGUCUGAUCUAGUGUGUCUAUAAUGCACACGAAAGGACAGACGAACAUUUUCUAUUUUAUGCCAUUUACUACGGAUUGUCGUUGGCCUUUCGUCGACAGAGAUUGUUGAUGUUGAGUAAAUGGUUGUCAUGUUCUUGCAUGUCCUGACCCAUGACGUGAAAAGCGUGUUAUUUAAAGAGAAUUUGUACUAUUCGGUGAGACUGUAUUGUGACAUUUCAACCUCAUGUUGUUGGCUGUGGUACAACUCUAUGACGAGUUGAUAAAGAAAUCGGUGCCAGUAACAAACACCUGCAAGGAUCCAUGGUGGAAAUGUUUCGAGAAUUUCCUUGGGGCGUUGGAUGGGACGUACAUAAAGGUGCAUGUACCCGCAAUCGAUCGUCCUACAUUCAGAACGCAUAAGGGAGAAAUUGACACUAAUGUACUUAGCCUCUACAACACAAAAGGGGAUUUCAUAUACGUACUGGCUGGUUGGGAAGGAUCUACAGCAGAUUCACGCAUUCUCCGAGAUGCGCUUGCACAACCAAAUGGACUGCAAGUGCCAAAGGGUUAUCCAAACGCGGAGGAAUUUCUUGUCCCACACAGAGGCUAGAGGUACCACUUGCAAGAGUGGCAUGACACUGAAAAUGCACCAACCAUUGCAAAUGAAUAUUUCAACACGAAACACUCAUCCACAAGAAAUGUCAUUGAGCAUGCUUUCGAUCUUCUAAAGGGUCGUUGGGGCAAUACUUCGUGGGAAGUCGUACUAUCUCCUCCAAGUGCAGUGUCGCACCAUCUUAGCAUGUUACUUGCUGCACAAUUUGAUUAACAGAGAAAUGACAAAUGGCGAAGGCUUAGACGACAUUGACGAGGGAGACUCGGCAUAUGCAACGACUACCACAGGAGACGACAUUUAGUACAUUGAGACCACAAACGAAUGGUCUCAUGGCGAAAAUUAGUUGAAGCGAUGUUGACCGAAUGGCAUAUGACAAGCUUGUCUCGUGCCCCAAAAAAUGUAUGGAUGAAGGAGGAGGACACUCUAGUCGAGUGUUUAGUGGAGUUGGUAUUCACCGAGAUGGAAGUCAGACAACGGUACGUUUUGGCUAGGUUAACUGGUCCAACUUAUCCACAUGAUGGCAGAAAAGUUGUUUGGAUGUCGUGUCCAAGCCACUACUGUAAUAGACUGCAGAACUAAGACACUGAAGCGAACCUUCCAGGCUAUCGCAGAAAUGAAUGGGCCAUCAUGCAGUGGGUUCGAAUGGAACGAUGAGACAAAGUGCAUCAUUGCCGAGAAGGAACUAUUCGACAAC